UGAGGAUGCUGCUCGCUGCUGCUGAUGGAGGCAGGAGGAUGCUGAAAGUGGGGCUGCUGCCCCCCUGCAGCUGCCCUGACCGGAGGGAUUUCCACCAUGGUGCAAGCAAUGGAAUCUCCAAACUAAGCCAGGAGUGUGAGCAAUGAAGAUAUGAGAAUACAAAAAUCCAGUCUAAGUAUUGCAACUAAACCAGCAUGAAACUCAGAGAAGUUUGGGUCCAAGACUCAGGUGGAAUGGAAGCUAUCAGUGAUGCUGCCUUUGGAUGGCAACUGGACGAAACUAAUAUCACAUAGGAAUGGAAAUAAAUUUGGAGUCUAUUCCCUCCCUCUGGCCCAAUACUGAAGCAGCGAAGGGAGAUUGCGCCAUUGAAGUAGGGGAAAUGUUUAUACUUUAUUCUAGCUAUAUCUUUGAAGUAAAUAUUCCUUUGUAAAAGUUAAAAUAGUGACAUAAAUAAUAUAUCCCAGUUCUUAUACAUACUACCUAAGUGGUUGGGUUGGUUUCAAAAUAUUUAUGGCUUUGGACUCCCCCACCCCCAGUUAUAUUUGAAUACUUUGGACUAUUUGGGCAAAUUGUGAUUGGGAAUGAGAAUUUUGGAUUGGGAAUAGAGGUGAGCUUGAAUUAUAGCCCGCUAUUCUUUCAUAUCUCAUUCGGUGGCUCUCCUUUGGUUAUGAUAGCAGCAACAAAAGGGGCAAAAAAGUCACUCAUCCUUAUCUGAAACAUGAGGAAAAUAACAUUUAUAUUAUCUAUCUAGAGUGGCAAGACAAAGGGACUAUCUUUGUAUGCUCUAGGAAUGGAAUUAUAUUCUAUUUUAGAGGUGUUAAACAAAGCUGAUUACAUGCCGUGUCUUGUCAUCCCUGUGAUCAAAGGGAAGGGAGCUAUCUUUUUAGUUAUCCAAAUAAUUACUCAGUAACAUGAUGGAGGGGGCAGCUAGGUGGUAUACAGUGGAUAAGAUACCAGAACUGGAGUCAGAAAGUCUCAUCUUUUUUGAAUUCAAAACCAGCAUCAGAUCCGUAAUGCUAGGCAAGUCACUUAACCCUGUUUACCUCAGGUUCCUUAUUUGUAAAAAUGAACUAGAGAAGGAGAUGGCAAAACACUCCAGAUCUUUGCUGAGAAACCUUCAAACAGGGUCCCAAAGAAUCAGACACAAUUGACAUGAUUGAACAAUAUGGUGGAGAAGCAAGGCUGGUUAGAAAUGAAAUUGGCUUUGGAGACCAAGCAAAUGAACUCAUUCCAGAAAACCUAGCUAGAUGAAUUUGGGAUGGGCAUAGGAGAUGAGCAUCAACUGUAGUCCACUUUUCUUUCUUAUCUCACUUGGCUGCUCUCCUUUGGAUUUCUCCACUAUGCCUCUAGAAAGAGUCUGGUGGUCUAAGGGAAAAGGGAGCAGGUUAUGAUGGCAGCAGCAGAAGAGGCAAAGAGGGUCGAUUGAACCUUAUCACCCUGUUAAACCAUGCCAGCUUUGCAAGGUCCUCAUCCCUCAUCAAUGCCCUCUGCCUUGGGACCCUUCUGAUUGGAGGCGCCCUCCUGAUGCCCAAGUCAAGCAGCUUUUCAUUUCUCCCCACUUCUACUACUUUUGUGUCCCACAUGCCACCAACUCCUCCUCUCCCCCAUUAAAUUAUAAGCAAUUUAUAUUCCCAGUGCUUAGCACAGUGUCUGGAACAUAGUAGGUACCUAAUAUAUGUUUAUUGAUGACUCUUUUUUUUUAAAGAGGUAUGAAGUAGCUGAAUUUUCCAGGCUCAUAGAGAAUGGGGAACUGAACUAGGUUCUGGAACUAUAAUUAAUAAAUGAUUUAGAAAAUUUAAGUAUCA